rnacentral:sRNA from 1 species
CAGUCAUUGGCACCAUGAACUGGAACAAAGGUGGUCCUGGCACUAAGCGAGGAUUUGGCUUUGGAGGUUUUGCCAUCAGUGCUGGGAAAAAGGAGGAACCCAAACUCCCACAGCAGUCCCACAGUGCCUUUGGGGCAACCAGCUCUUCUUCUGGAUUUGGAAAGUCAGCUCCACCACAGCUUCCUUCUUUCUACAAAAUUGGAUCUAAGCGGGCCAACUUUGAUGAAGAAAAUGCCUAUUUUGAAGAUGAGGAAGAAGAUUCUAGCAACGUUGAUUUACCUUACAUUCCUGCUGAAAACUCACCAACUCGCCAGCAAUUCCAUUCCAAGCCAAUAGAUUCUGACAGCGAUGAUGAUCCCUUGGAGGCAUUCAUGGCUGAAGUGGAGGAUCAGGCAGCUAGAGACAUGAAGAGGCUUGAAGAAAAGGACAAGGAAAGAAAAAACGUAAAGUAAGUUGUUUUCUUCUCCCUCACAAAGGUUACGUGAAAACUGCUAAAGUGUUGCAAAGCCUAUUCCCCCAAAGUUUAUAGAGAAAAAAUAUUGAAG